rnacentral:ncRNA from 1 species
GAUUUCUGCCCAGUGCUCUGAAUGUCAAAGCGAAGAAAUUCGAUGAAGCGCAGGUAAAUGGCGGGAGUAACUACAAUGUGCUUAAGGUAACCAAUUGCCUCAUCAUCUAAUCAGAAAGACUCUUUAGCCCAUAAGCCAAUGGCACGCAAAAAAGAAA